UACGGGGGGGGGCAAGCGUUGUUCGGAAUUACUGGGCGUAAAGGGCGCGUAGGCGGUUUGCUAAGUUGGAUGUGAAAACUCUGGGCUUAACCCAGAGCCUGCAUCCAAAAACUGGCAAACUUGAGUACUGGAGGGGAAAGCGGAAUUCCUGGUGUAGCGGUGAAAUGCGUAGAUAUCAGGAGGAACACCGGUGGCGAAGGCGGCUUUCUGGACAGUAACUGACGCUGAGGCGCGAAAGCUAGGGGAGCAAACAGG
rnacentral:rRNA from 1 species